UUUUUUUGUUUUUGUUUUUGUUUUUUUUUACAUCCCUCCAUGAUCAAUCUGCUAGCAAUUUCUCUUGGCUUAGUAUUUGAAAUAGAUACAACUAAGCUCUGAAAUGUUUAUUCUGUCAUUCUAUUUCAAGUCACCAUUACUCACCACUCAGAAAAUAGUACCAACUUCCAAGUUGGUCUCACUGCUUCUACUUUUGCCUGUUGAAAUUAUAGUCUUUACUCAUCAGCCAAAGUGAUACUUUUAAAACUGAAGUAAGACUGUCGGACUUUUCUACUCAUAUUCUCCCAAUGGUUUAAAUUUCACUCAAUAAAACAUUAGAAGUCUUCAUUAUGCUGUAUAUGGCUCCACAGAAUAUAGUUACCAAACACUCCUGUUAUCAUCUCUGACCUCAUCACCUUCCAUUCUUAUUCAUCCACACACCUUUUCCAACUCGGCCUUCUUUGUACUUCUUCGACUUUUCAAACACACCCAUCAUGCAUUUUAGGUCUUGCUAUUUCUUGUCCUGGAACAUUCUCACCCUCUCUAUAUGGGAGUCAUUGUGGUCUCACUUUAUUUAGCUCUUUGUUCAACUGUCUUCUUAUCUAAGAUGACUUUAUUGAUAGUUAUGACUCAGCCCCUCCCCAUACACUGCCUUUUUCAUGAUAACACUUUGUUUUUAUUCUUCAUGGUUAGCAUUAUCAACAAGGUAUUUAUUAACUUGUUUGUUGUCUCUUUUCUGAGUAUAAGUACCUUCUUUUGUUCAACACCAUUUAAUUCACACCUACUAUUUAGUACACACUCAGUAAACAUUUGUCUUCCAAAAAGAAUAUGCUCAAGGCAAUGAACGAGAUGGCAUGGUCAGUGAGUUUAAAGUUACCAGGUGCUAGUUGUCAAAAAUUAAGUGUGGGCUUUUCAAUUUAUUGUCCUUAGUAUGCAUGCCAAUGGUGAGGAAUGCUUAGGAUUGCUCAUAGAUCUAGAAGUCUGUGAGGCUCUUCAGUACAUGCCUAAACCAUAUAAAACAUAUUACUGUAGAUUUUAUAAUGAACACAGUAACUAUAUCCUUAAGUCAGAACUAUGAGAUAAUCUUGAUAGUAGAAAUGAUAAAAGUAGUGUUAGCAAUACAACAAUUAUAGAUGCCAUUUAUUAUUUGCCAUAAAAUCUAUACUGAUGUUAGCUUGUAACAUAUCUCAUCAUGCAAUACCGUCUUUAAAAUUACCAUAAAAUCAUACGUUUAAAAGAUGAGCAAAUUGAUUUAGAGGAAUCCAGAAAUAUGUUCAAAAUUAUGUUCUAAUGUGAUUAAAAGCCCACAUGUAAUCCCUAGACCACUUGACUCUCAAACCUUUACAAUGUCAUAUCUACCAGCAUGACAUGAAAGCAUCUAUUCCACAUUUGCAAUUUGCAUCAACUUUAAGGUGUAUCAUUUCUUUGAAAGUUAUUUCAGAGCUUCAUUGAUUUUUCUUGGUAUUUAAUUCACUCUCUACUGAGUAACUCAUAUGCAUUUGCAAGAUCUGUGAAAAUAACCUGCUGUAAAUGGGUAGGGGAGAUUUUCCCUGAGGGAAUAAAACAAAAAAUGUACAGAAAAUGUGUUAAAAAUGUUUCUUUUUGUAGAUAGAUAAUAGACAUUGAGAU
ensembl:lncRNA